rnacentral:rRNA from 1 species
UGAAUACGAGACGCUAAGGCGUCGAAGUAGUGUAUAUCAGACUUCCAAGAAAAGCUCGCACUGUCAUAGAUAAAAAAUGCCUGUACCAUAACCGACACAGGUGGGUAGGUAGAGUAUACUAAGGGGCGCGAGAUAACUCUCUCUAAGGAACUCGGCAAAAUAACUCCGUAACUUCGGGAGAAGGAGUGCCUUAUUUAUAAGGUUGCAAUAACAAGAUCCAAGCAACUGUUUAUCAAAAACACAGGUCUCCGCUAAGUCGUAAGACGAUGUAUGGGGGCUGACGCCUGCCCAGUGCCAGAAGGUUAAAGAAGUUGGUUAGCAAUUGCGAAGCUGAUAACUGAAGCCCUGGUGAACGGCGGCCGUAACAAUAACGGUCCUAAGGUAGCGAAAUUCCUUGUCGGGUAAGUUCCGACCCGCACGAAAGGCGUAAUGAUUUGGAUACUGUCUCGGAGAGGGGCUCGGUGAAAUAGACUUGUCUGUGAAGAUGCGGACUACCUGCACCAGGACAGAAAGACCCUAUGAAGCUUUACUGUAACUUGAAAUUGAAAUUGGACUUUAUUCGCGCAGCAUAGGUGGGAGGCGUUGAUUAUAAUCUUGCGGGAUUAUUGGAGCCAUCAGUGAGAUACCACUCUUGUAAUGUUAGAUUUCUAACUUUGAAUCAUUAUCUGGUCAAAGAACAGUUUCAGGCGGGCAGUUUGACUGGGGCGGUCGCCUCCUAAAUGGUAACGGAGGCGUACAAAGGUUUCCUCUGAACGGUUAGAAAUCGUAUCUAGAGUGUAAAGGCAUAAGGAAGCUUGACUGUGAGACCUACAAGUCGAGCAGGGACGAAAGUCGGUCUUAGUGAUCUGACGGUACUGAGUGGAAAGGCCGUCACUCAACGGAUAAAAGUUACUCUAAGGAUAACAGGCUGAUCUCCCCCAAGAGUUCACAUCGACGGGGAGGUUUGGCACCUCGAUGUCGGCUCAUCGCAUCCUGGGGCGGUAGUACGUCCCAAGGGUUGGGCUGUUCGCCCAUGAAAGCGGUACGCGAGCUGGGUUCAGAACGUCGUGAGACAGUUCGGUCCAUAUCCGGUGUAGGCGUUAGAAUAUUGAGAGGAGCCUUCUUUAGUACGAGAGGACCGAGAAGGACAUACCUCUGGUGUACCAGUUAUCGUGCCAACGGUAAACGCUGGGUAGCUAUGUAUGGAGUGGAUAACCGCUGAAAGCAUCUAAGUGGGAAGCCCACCUCAAGAUAAGUAUUCGC